AACGAACGCUGGCGGCAGGUCUUAGGCAUGCAAGUCGAACGGGUGAAGCAGAGCUUGCUCUGUGGAUCUAGUGGCGCACGAGUGAGUAACGCGUGGGAAACUGCCCACCACUGGGGAAUAACGUUUGGAAACGAACGCUAAUACCGCAUACGCCGGAAACGGGAAAGAUUUAUCGGUGGUGGAUGUGCCCGCGUUGGAUUAGCUUGUUGGUGGGGUAAUGGCCUACCAAGGCGAUGAUCCAUAGCUGGUCUGAGAGGACGAUCAGCCACGCUGGAACUGAGACACGGUCCAGACUCCUACGGGAGGCAGCAGCUAAGAAUAUUGGGCAAUGGAGGAAACUCUGACCCAGCCAUGCCGCGUGAAUGAAGAAGGCCUUCGGGGGUACGGAAGGACGUGACGGUACCU
rnacentral:rRNA from 1 species